AAAUAUUGCGGAAGAUAUAAACAUAAAUUGUUUAUACAUUAAACUUUUACACAUCAUUUCCAAGGUCUACAACCUUAACUUAACACAUACCUUCAAUAUCGUAGAAGAUUUACAAUACUAUUUUCAUCAGAAAAUUUAAUAAAUUUAACUACAACAUAAAGAAACUUUGCACUUUGUCUUUGCCUCUGUCCUUAUUCAAGUCUUCAUCUUAAUCUGAAAAUUUUAUCAUGAUAUAGCAAGGGUGAGCAACAAAUUUGCCCAGCAAGUUUUACAUACAAAGGAGAUAUAUCAUGAUUGAAAAGAAUGGAUAAGCUUUCAAGUUUUCAACAAUAUAAUAAUUGUGAAAUAACAUGAAUCAA
rnacentral:lncRNA from 1 species